rnacentral:rRNA from 1 species
UACGGAGGGUGCGAGCGUUGCUCGGAAUUAUUGGGCGUAAAGAGCUCGUAGGCGGUUCGUCGCGUCGGCUGUGAAAUCCCGAGGCUCAACCUCGGGUCUGCAGUCGAUACGGGCGGACUGGAGUUCGGCAGGGGAGACUGGAAUUCCUGGUGUAGCGGUGAAAUGCGCAGAUAUCAGGAGGAACACCGGUGGCGAAGGCGGGUCUCUGGGCCGAUACUGACGCUGAGGAGCGAAAGCGUGGGGAGCGAACAGG